rnacentral:rRNA from 1 species
AGUGAACGCUGGCGGUAGGCCUAACACAUGCAAGUCGAACGGCAGCACAGUAAGAGCUUGCUCUUACGGGUGGCGAGUGGCGGACGGGUGAGGAAUACAUCGGAAUCUACUUUUUCGUGGGGGAUAACGUAGGGAAACAGACGCUAAUACCGCAUACGACCUACGGGUGAAAGCAGGGGAGCUACGGACCUUGCGCGAUUGAUUGAGACGUUGUCGCAUUAGCUAGUUGGCAAGGUAAAGGCCCACCAAGGCGACGAUGCGUAGCGGACCUGAGAGGAUGAUCAGCCACACUGGAACUGAGACACGGUCCAGACUCCUACGGGAGGCAGCAGUGGGGAAUAUUGGGCAAUGGGCGCAAGCCUGACGCAGCCAUGCCGCGUGAGUGAAGAAGGCCUUCGGGUCGUAAAGCUCUUUUAUUAGGAAAGAAAAACUGCAUAUUUAACCACGCCUGUUCUGACGGUACCCAAAGAAUAAGCAACGGCUAACUUCGUG